rnacentral:rRNA from 1 species
AUUGAACGCUGGCGGCAGGCCUAACACAUGCAAGUCGAGCGGUAGAGAGGUGCUUGCAUCUCUUGAGAGCGGCGGACGGGUGAGUAAUGCCUAGGAAUCUGCCUAGUGGUGGGGGAUAACGUUCGGAAACGGACGCUAAUACCGCAUACGUCCUACGGGAGAAAGCGGGGGGAUCUUCGGACCUCGCGCCAUUAGAUGAGCCUAGGUCGGAUUAGCUAGUUGGUGAGGUAAUGGCUCACCAAGGCGACGAUCCGUAACUGGUCUGAGAGGAUGAUCAGUCACACUGGAACUGAGACACGGUCCAGACUCCUACGGGAGGCAGCAGUGGGGAAUAUUGGACAAUGGGCGAAAGCCUGAUCCAGCCAUGCCGCGUGUGUGAAGAAGGUCUUCGGUUGUAAACUGCUUUGUACGGAACGAAACGGUGAGCUCUAUACAGUUGUCUAAUUGACGGUACCGUAAGAAUAAGACACCGGAC